CGCUAGUCCAAGUACAGUGCUAUUUACCGUUAACUAAUUCAUCACAACCAGUUACAGAUUCCUUUGUUUCUUCUUCACUGCCACUGCUGCACUUGACUAGCCUAAA
ensembl:misc_RNA Y_RNA Y RNA